CUCUGUUGACCCUGAAAUAAGCUGUAGAAACCAGUCAAAACUGCUCGUUCUUCCUCUUGUGAUGCGAGACAUUUCUGUUCUCUUCGACAUGAAUUUGUUGCCCAAAGGUCAAGUGGCAAGAUGAGUCUGCAGAUGCUCAAGAUUAUGAAUAGGGAGCAGAUGAGUUUUAGCACUGGUAUGAGUUGUGGCUAAAAUAAAGAAGCCCGUUUGGAUGCGGAAAGAAUGGCUGCUCCACGAAAGUCGAUUUCCUAGGAGAUAUCUGUGUUAAUUAUUGAUAGCAUCUCGCUGGCUGGCUGGUUCUGGUGAGCGAAGAUGCAUGCUGUUUGUGUACCCUCCAUACCUUGGUGAUUGGAAGAUCUUUAACAAGACUUUGAUCUUCAUCUUUAAAUCUAACAAACCAGUCACCUUUCUCUCCCACAUGGACAUGGCACACACUAGUCACCACACCUAACCUCUAGAUCUAGCAAACCAAUCACCUCUCUGACUCUUUCAUUCGCACCUGGCCUUAAAUUUUGUCACACCAGGUAUAAUUUUUUUGUUUUUUGUCAAUCUCUGUUUUUAUUUUUUUAACAUAUGCUUUGUGUAUUUUCAUUUACAUUGAUGUUAAUGCUUGCUGUAAAAAUUUGAGACUUGAGAGGUCAGUGGUGGUUUUUUGAGAUUUGCUUA